rnacentral:rRNA from 1 species
GAGUUUGAUCAUGGCUCAGAUUGAACGCUGGCGGCAUGCCUUACACAUGCAAGUCGAACGGCAGCAUGAUCUAGCUUGCGUAGAUUGAUGGCGAGUGGCGAACGGGUGAGUAAUACAUCGGAACGUGCCCUGUAGUGGGGAUAACUAGUCGAAAGAUUAGUUAAUACCGCAUACGACCUGAGGGUGAAAGUGGGGGACCGCAAGGCCUCAUUGCUAUAGGAGCGGCCGAUGUCUGAUUAGCUAGUUGGUGGGGUAAAGGCCCACCAAGGCGACGAUCAGUAGCUGGUCUGAGAGGACGAUCAGCCACACUGGGACUGAGACACGGCCCAGACUCCUACGGGAGGCAGCGAGUGGGGAAUUUUGGACAAUGGGCGAAAGCCUGAUCCAGCAAUGCCGCGUGUGUGAAGAAGGCCU